AUUCUUUUCUGGCUCAUAAGCAUGAUGAACGAGUUUUCACAUGCCUGGUUAAUAUGUGCCUUUUUUCAACCUUAUGACAUCAGAACAUGACCCUUCUAACA